GAGAACUAUGGGGAGAUGCUGUCGAAAUUUUCACAAAAAUGAGAUGAAAUAUCCACUAAUAAUAAUAAUGAGAUUAUUACUUUUCUAAAAGGGAUAGGGCCACACUUGUUAGUAAUGAUUUGAAAAGGAUAGGAUCAUAAAUUUUUACUUCAUAAAGGGAUAGGGUCACAUUUUCUGUGUUAAUGUUCAGUCUGCUUGUCUUUUUUAAUAUGUGUUAUUUUGUAUAAAGUGAUC
rnacentral:lncRNA from 1 species